AACGAACGCUGGCGGCGUGCCUAACACAUGCAAGUCGUGCGAGAAAGUUCCUUCGGGAGCGAGUAAAGCGGCGCACGGGUGAGUAACACGUAGGUAACCUGCCCCCCAGUCUGGAACAACUAGAGGAAACUCUAGCUAAUGCCGGAUGAGACCACGAUCCCUUCGGGGGUUGCGGCCAAAGAUGGCCUCUACUUGUAAGCUAUCGCUGAGGGAUGGGCCUGCGGGCCAUUAGCUUGUUGGUGAGGUAACGGCUCACCAAGGCUGUGAUGGCUAGCUGGUCUGAGAGGAUGACCAGCCACACUGGGACUGAGACACGGCCCAGACUCCUACGGGAGGCAGCAGUGGGGAAUAUUGCGCAAUGGGCGAAAGGCCUGACGCAGCGACGCCGCGUGGGUGAUGAAGGCCUU
rnacentral:rRNA from 1 species